AGUGAACGCUGGCGGUAGGCCUAACACAUGCAAGUCGAACGGCAGCACAGUAAGAGCUUGCUCUUACGGGUGGCGAGUGGCGGACGGGUGAGGAAUACAUCGGAAUCUACUUUUUCGUGGGGGAUAACGUAGGGAAACUUACGCUAAUACCGCAUACGACCUACGGGUGAAAGCAGGGGAUCUUCGGACCUUGCGCGUUUGAAUGAGCCGAUGUCGGAUUAGCUAGUUGGCGGGGUAAAGGCCCACCAAGGCAACGAUCCGUAGCUGGUCUGAGAGGAUGAUCAGCCACACUGGAACUGAGACACGGUCCAGACUCCUACGGGAGGCAGCAGUAGGGAAUAUUGGACAAUGGGCGCAAGCCUGAUCCAGCCAUACCGCGUGAGUGAAGAAGGCCUUCGGGUUGUAAAGCCCUUUUGUUGGGAAAGAAAAUCAGCAGGUUAAUACCCCGCUGUUCUGACGGUACCCAAAGAAUAAGCACCGGCUAACUUCGUG
rnacentral:rRNA from 1 species